rnacentral:tRNA from 1 species
GCUUCCUUAGUAUAUCUGUACAUCCGCCUUCCAAGCAGAAAGACUAAAUAAAUUAGAGGAAUCA